ACCACUGAGAAAGGCUCCAAGAAACGACCAACUAGAAAAGACCCCUUAUUAUGCUGUUUUCGUCAUUCCGUAACAGCAGAGAAGCUCUCCCUUUCAUUCUCCGCCGUUUUUCCCCUUCUUCGUCUUCCUCUUCUUCUCCUUCGCAUUCUCUCCGGUUCUUCUUCUCCUCCUCCGCCGCCGCAGAACCUCCGUCGCCGCCACAAGCAACCACCGCGGCCAUGGCGGAAGCCACUCCCAAAGACGAGGCGUAUCUAAACGCAGUCAUUCCGAAGCGAAUCCAGCUCUUCGAGUCCAUCAAGGCUCAGCAGCAAGUCGAACGCCUCUCUCUCCAAUCCGAUCCCAUCAAGAUAACGUUGCCGGACGGGACGGUGAAGGAAGGGAAGAAGUGGGUGACCUCGCCGUUCGACGUCGCCAAGGAGAUUUCGAAGAGUUUGGCGGCGAAUGCUCUGAUCUCUCAGGUCAAUGGAGUUCUGUGGGACAUGACGAGGCCUUUGGAAGGCGAUUGUGAGCUCAAGCUCUUCACCUUCGAGAGCGAUGAGGGGCGCGACACUUUCUGGCAUUCUAGCGCUCACAUUCUUGGACAGGCACUGGAGAUGGAGUACGGAUGCAAGCUCUGCAUUGGACCUUGCACCACCAGAGGAGAGGGUUUUUAUUAUGACGCGUAUUACGGCGACUUCGGUUUAAAUGACAAAAACUUAAAGAAAAUCGAUGCUGGGGCAAGCAAGGCUGCUAAGGUAAAGCAGCCUUUUGAGCGUAUUGAAGUAUCACGGGAACAGGCACUUGAGAUGUUUUCUGACAAUAGUUUCAAGGUUGAGAUUAUCAAUGAUUUGCCGGCAGACAAAACUAUCACCGUAUAUAGAUGUGGUCCCUUAGUUGAUUUAUGCCGUGGACCUCAUAUACCUAAUACAUCCUUUGUGAAAGCGUUCCAAUGUUUGAAGGCUUCUUCAGCUUACUGGAGGGGGAAUAAGGAUCGUGAAAGUUUGCAAAGAGUUUAUGGAAUAUCUUAUCCUGAUAAAAAACAUUUGGAGGAAUACAUAAAAUUUCUGGAAGAAGCUAAAAUGUAUGAUCACAGAUUGUUGGGUACAAAACAGGAGCUUUUCUUCUGUCAUCCGCUUAGCCCAGGAAGUUGGUUCUUCCUUCCACAUGGGACACGGAUCUACAACAAACUAAUGGAUUUUAUACGAAAUCAAUAUAGAGAGAGAGGAUACCAAGAGGUUUUAUCACCAAACAUGUAUAAUAUGCAAUUAUGGGAGACAUCUGGUCACGCUGCAAAUUACAAGGAGAAUAUGUUUGUAUUUGAGAUUGAAAAACAGGAAUUUGGAUUGAAACCAAUGAAUUGCCCAGGACAUUGUUUGAUGUUUCAACAUAGAGUUCGGUCUUAUAGAGAACUUCCUCUCCGACUGGCUGACUUUGGGGUCUUGCAUCGAAAUGAAGCCAGUGGUGCUCUUACUGGCCUGACACGUGUCCGGAGAUUUCAGCAGGAUGACUCUCAUAUCUUUUGCAGGGAGUCUCAGAUAAAAGAAGAAGUGAGGGGUGUCUUAGAAUUUAUCAAAUAUUGUUACGAUGUAUUUGGCUUCACUUUUGAUCUGAAGUUAUCAACGAGGCCAGAGAAAUACCUUGGAGAAUUGGCUACAUGGGAGAAAGCCGAGGCUGCUCUUACGGAAGCACUGAAUGAGUUUGGCAAGCCUUGGCAGAUAAAUGAAGGGGAUGGUGCAUUUUAUGGCCCAAAGAUAGACAUCAGUGUAUCUGAUGCUUUGAAUAGGAAAUUCCAAUGUGCAACGUUACAGCUUGAUUUCCAGCUUCCUGCUCGUUUCGAGCUCUAUUACUCAGCAGAGGAUGAAGCAAAGAGGGAAGCACCUGUUAUGAUACACAGAGCCGUUUUAGGUUCUGUUGAACGUAUGUUUGCUAUACUGCUGGAACACUACAAAGGAAAAUGGCCAUUCUGGCUUAGCCCACGUCAGGCAAUUGUUUGUCCUGUGUCAGAGAAAUCCCAGUCAUAUGCAUUAAAGGUGAGGGAUCAGAUUCAUGAUGCUGGUUAUUAUGUUGAUGUUGAUACAACUGACAGAAAGAUCCAGAAAAAGGUACGAGAAGCUCAGUUGGCCCAGUACAACUUUAUUUUGGUUGUUGGUGAAGAGGAAGCCAACACUGGACAGGUGAGCGUACGUCUGAGGAAUUCAUAUGACCAUUCCGUGAUGAGCAUGGAGGAGUUGCUACAACACUUCAAGGCGGAGACAGAAGCGUUUCACUGAUGGACGGGAUCACCUGUCUAACAAAUCAAAAUGAGCCACGUCUCAAUUUUGAAGGAUUGGGAUAGGAAGUUGUGGACAGGUGAUCUCAGUCCGAAAUCUUUACUAGACGACGUGAAUCACUAGCAUGGAUGCCAGUAGAUCCACUAUCUUAGGGCCAGGAAUUGUCCCUGGGCAAUUUCAGUCUUUUUCUCUUUGGCUGUUUGAGCAAAAGGCGAUCCUGCGAUAUUCUUUAUUUUCUUCUUCCCCUGAAAACUCCGUGGUCUUGGACUAUGAAUGUGUAUCUAAGAGCUCCUCGAAGGGGAAAAUUUUAUACUUGUUCCUUAGGCAGAACAGAAAUUGGAUUUGACAGUAACAAAGUCUCUGUUGUUGGUGGCCGGUAGGUGGGAGGUGGAGGGGCCGUUCCUUGUUAGUCGUCGUGUUGAUUUCAUAUUUUCAUGCCAUUUCCUUCUGUUAUAAGACAAAAAGGUUUUUCAUUAGUGUGAAGACUUUUAUCCUUCAAAUCACUAGCCGUGUCUUGCACACAACAAUAAUAGUAUAAUACCAACAAUUCUGUACCUCUGCCUUUCAUGUGUUAGGACACAAAACUGUCCUUC